GUCCACGCCCUAAACGGUGCAUACUAGCUGUUGGCGGAAUCGACCCCGCCAGUGGCCAAGCUAACGCGAUAAGUAUGCCGCCUGAGGACUACGGCCGCAAGGCUAAAACUAAAAGGAAUUGACGGGGGCCCGCACAAGCGGUGGAGCAUGUGGCUUAAUUCGAUGCAACGCGAAGAACCUUACCUGGCCUUGACAUGCAAGUAGUAGAAGCCUGAAAGGGUGACGAUCCCGCAAGGGAAGCUUGCACAGGUGCUGCAUGGCUGUCGU
rnacentral:rRNA from 1 species